rnacentral:tRNA from 2 species
GGCCGUGUGGUGUAGUGGUAGCAUACUUGCUUUGGGAAUUUCCUCUCAUAAGCUGUUGCAAGUGGUCCCAGGUUCGAGCCCUGGCUCGGCCC